UUGAAUGCGUGUAGAGAUUAAUUUGUAAAGUUUUCUUUCAACAUCUGGUCAUUAAUAUAAAGAUAAGGAUGAAUCAUUGCCAAACAGGCAUAUAAAACAAAACCAGAUACUUUGUAUCAAAACUCAAUGCCGCACACAUAUUUAUGCUCACUGUAUUUUCAAAAAUGUUAUUCUAGAUCUUUCCUGUUCUUCUAUAAAAAGGGCCCAAUGCUUGUUUGUUUUGUACAUGUUUAUGAAUAAGACAUAUCUUGAUCUAUAAGCUUUAGAUUAUGAUUCAUGUAGAGAAAAUGAUGCAGAGUUUUGAGACAUUUGAUGGUCAAGAUGAAGCGGAAUAUGGUGAUAGUUCUAAAGAGCUUGAACCAUAUGCAGUUCUAAAUAAUCGCAUCCAUGAUUUAUAAGAGGAGGAUGUGACACACCCCAACUCAGAAUGUCCAUCUGGACUCUGAAUCAAGUUGUGAUGGCCAACACCAGGAAGGUGACGAAGCCAUAAAGUGUAGUGAUGUGGAAAAUGUGAAUAAAUUUAAACCUAAAAGUGCCUAAAUGUUAGAGUGUGCUUGGGAGAGGGAAUGAACCCAUUUCACAACUAAUGUCAUAGCAUAAGUAAAGUACCGUAAAGGUAAAAGAGGAAUUAUACCAUCGGGGAAUAUUCCCAUAACAA